rnacentral:rRNA from 1 species
AAGAGACAGCAGUAGCCACGGUAAUACAGAGGGUGCGAGCGUUAAUCGGAUUUACUGGGCGUAAAGCGCACGCAGGCGGUCUGACAAGUCAGAUGUGAAAUCCCCGGGCUUAACCUGGGAACUGCAUUUGAAACUGUCAGGCUGGAGUCUUGUAGAGGGGGGUAGAAUUCCAGGUGUAGCGGUGAAAUGCGUAGAGAUCUGGAGGAAUACCGGUGGCGAAGGCGGCCCCCUGGACAAAGACUGACGCUCAGGUGCGAAAGCGUGGGGAGCAAACAGGAUUAGAUACCCCUGUAGUCCCUGUCUCUUAUAC